GCGAAACCCAUCAGAUGAAAUCAAGAGAACAACAGGAUGUUUGAGUUUUUGAAGUGGACGUGAGCGUGUUACAUGCGAAAUAGAGGAGAUAGAAGAAUGUGAAAAGAAGAGGAAAGCAAAGGUAACAGCAGUAGAUAGAGAUACACAAGUGACGAGAAUCAAAGCUGUCAAAAUUACCGAAUUGAAAGGGGUUUUUGUAGGAGACGAUGGGGAACAGUCAUCUGUGUCAAAAGAAAGCAAUGAAGUGGAGGAAAUUGGUGGGUCUUCAUCCUCUUUUGUGAGUACAGCCAUAGGCUUGAAGGACACUGAAUUGGAAUUCAUCAUCGACAAAAAAACGUAAUAGUAUCGAAAAUUGAAAAGGUGUAGCCUGCUGCUAUCAAGAAUGAGUUUACCUGAAAUCGAAUGAAAAGGCUCUCUCUUCCCCUGAUUCCUGAAGUUGCUUUGUGUGAAGUCACUACAGGAAAAUGGAGUGUGAAUGAAGGAUAAUGGAAUGAUGAAUUAGUUGAAAAGCCGGUUUCAACAAACUCAGAUGCUGGACUUCUAAGGAAGAAGAUUAGGUUCGUAGUUUACAUAAAU
rnacentral:misc_RNA from 1 species